GACGAACGCUGGCGGCGUGCUUAACACAUGCAAGUCGAACGGAAAGGCCCUGCUUUUGUGGGGUGCUCGAGUGGCGAACGGGUGAGUAACACGUGAGUAACCUGCCCUUGACUUUGGGAUAACUUCAGGAAACUGGGGCUAAUCCCGGAUAGGAGCUCCUGCUGCAUGGUGGGGGUUGGAAAGUUUCGGCGGUUGGGGAUGGACUCGCGGCUUAUCAGCUUGUUGGUGGGGUAGUGGCUUACCAAGGCUUUGACGGGUAGCCGGCCUGAGAGGGUGACCGGCCACAUUGGGACUGAGAUACGGCCCAGACUCCUACGGGAGGCAGCAGUGGGGAAUAUUGCACAAUGGGCGGAAGCCUGAUGCAGCAACGCCGCGGGCGGGAUGACGGCCUUCGUGUUGUAAACCGCUUUCGCCUGUGACGAAGCGUGAGUGACGGUAAUGGGUAAAGAAGCACCGGCUAACUACGGG
rnacentral:rRNA from 1 species